UGGCUCCUUGCCGCGCGGAAGAUUUAACGGGGCUCAAGCUGUAUACCGAAGCUGCGGAUGUGUGCAUUCCACUUUAUCGCAUUGAAAAAUGGGGUCAGAGACGAAGUUUUCUCUAACCGCGUUUAUUCAAGAGAAGUGGGUGUCAGAAAAUUCGUCUCUGACCCCAUUUUUCUGGCAGUGCGCUAAAGGGAAUGCACACGUGGUAGAGGAGCGUUCCGUAUGCCUGCGAAGGUGACCUGUAAGGGUUGCUGGAGGUAUCGGAAGUGCGAAUGCUGACAUGAGUAGCGUUAAUGCGGGUGAAAAACCCGCACGCCGAAAGCCCAAGGUUUCCUGCGCAACGUUAAUCGGCGCAGGGUGAGUCGGCCCCUAAGGCGAGGACGAAAGUCGUAGUCGAUGGGAAGCAGGUUAAUAUUCCUGCACCGAUCAUGACUGCUAUGGGGAGACGGAGAAGGCUAGGUCAUCCGGGUGUUGGUUGUCCCGGUUUAAGCGUGUAGGUGUGCUGCAUAGGAAAAUCCGUGCGGCUUAACCGAGACGUGAUGACGAGGUCUCUUAUGAGACUGAAGUGAUUGAUGCCCUGCUUCCAAGAAAAUCCUCUAUGCUUCAGGUCAUGAUGACCGUACCGUAAACCGACACUGGUGGGCGAGAUGAAAAUUCUUAGGCGCUUGAGAGAACUCGGGUUAAGGAACUCGGCAAAUUGGCACCGUAACUUCGGAAGAAGGUGCGCCUUUGUUAGGUGAAGGACCUCGCGUCUGGAGCCGAGAAAGGUCGCAGAGAAUCGGUAGCUGCAACUGUUUAUCAAAAACACAGCACUCUGCAAACACGAAAGUGGACGUAUAGGGUGUGACGCCUGCCCGGUGCCGGAAGGUUAAUUGAUGGGGUUAGUCGCAAGACGAAGCCCUUGAUCGAAGCCCCGGUGAACGGCGGCCGUAACUAUAACGGUCCUAAGGUAGCGAAAUUCCUUGUCGGGUAAGUUCCGACCUGCACGAAUGGCGUAAUGAUGGCUACACUGUCUCGACCCGAGACUCAGCGAAGUUGAAAUCGCUGUGAAGAUGCAGCGUUCCCGCCGCAAGACGGAAAGACCCCGUGAACCUUUACUAUACCUUCACACUGAACUUUGAAGUUGUCUGUGUAGGAUAGCUGGGAGACUUUGAAGCGUUGGCGCCAGCCAGCGUGGAGUCGUCCUUGAAAUACCAGCCUGACAGCUUUGAGGUUCUAACCUUGACCCGUUAUCCGGGCCGGGAACAGUGUGUGGCGGGUAGUUUGACUGGGGCGGUCUCCUCCCAAAGAGUAACGGAGGAGCGCGAAGGUACCCUCAGCACGGUCGGAAAUCGUGCGUCGAGUGUAAUGGCAGAAGGGUGCUUGACUGCGAGACAGACAAGUCGAGCAGGGUCGAAAGACGGUCAUAGUGAUCCGGUGGUUCUGUAUGGAAGGGCCAUCGCUCAACGGAUAAAAGGUACUCCGGGGAUAACAGGCUGAUACCGCCCAAGAGUUCAUAUCGACGGCGGUGUUUGGCACCUCGAUGUCGGCUCAUCACAUCCUGGGGCUGUAGCCGGUCCCAAGGGUAUGGCUGUUCGCCAUUUAAAGUGGUACGCGAGCUGGGUUCAGAACGUCGUGAGACAGUUCGGUCCCUAUCUGCGGUGGGCGUUGGAGAUUUGAGAGGAUCUGUCCUUAGUACGAGAGGACCGGGAUGGACGAACCUCUGGUGUUCCGGUUGUCACGCCAGUGGCACUGCCGGGUAGCCAAGUUCGGACGGGAUAAACGCUGAAAGCAUCUAAGCGUGAAACCCACCUCGAGAUGAGAUCUCCCCGGGAGUUCGACUCCCCUGAAGGGCCGUGGUAGACCACCACGUUGAUAGGCUCCAUGUGUAAGCGCGGUAACGCGUUGAGCUAAGGAGUACUAAUUGCCCGUGUGGCUUGACCAU
rnacentral:rRNA from 1 species